rnacentral:rRNA from 1 species
AGAGUUUGAUCCUGGCUCAGAACGAACGCUGGNGGCAGGCCUAACACAUGCAAGUCGAACGCCCCGGCAAGGGGAGUGGCAGACGGGUGAGUAACACGUGGGAACCUUCCCUAUAGUACGGAAUAGCCCAGGGNAAACUUGGAGUAAUACCGUAUACGCCCGAAAGGGGAAAGAUUUAUCGCUAUAGGAUGGGCCCGCGGUAGGAUUAGCUAGUUGGUGAGGUAACGGCUCACCAAGGCGACGAUCCUUAGCUGGUUUGAGAGAACGACCAGCCACACUGGGACUGAGACACGGCCCAGACUCCUACGGGAGGCAGCAGUGGGGAAUAUUGGACAAUGGGCGCAAGCCUGAUCCAGCCAUGCCGCGUGAGUGAUGAAGGCCUUAGGGUUGUAAAGCUCUUUUGGCGGGGACGAUAAUGACGGUACCCGCAGAAUAAGUCCCGGGCUAACUUCGUGCCAGCAGCCGCGGUAAUACGAAGGGGACUAGCGUUGUUCGGAAUCACUGGGCGUAAAGCGCACGUAGGCGGAUAUGUCAGUCAGGGGUGAAAUCCCGGGGCUCAACCUCNGAACUGCCUUUGAUACAGCAUAUCUUGAGUCCGAUAGAGGUGGGUGGAAUUCCUAGUGUAGAGGUGAAAUUCGUAGAUAUUAGGAAGAACACCGGUGGCGAAGGCNGCCCACUGGAUCGGUACUGACGC